rnacentral:rRNA from 1 species
UACGGAGGAGGCAAGCGUUAUCCGGAAUUAUUGGGCGUAAAGCGUCCGCAGGUGGCACCUCAAGUCUGCUGUCAAAGACCGGGGCUUAACCCCAGAAAGGCAGUGGAAACUGAAGUGCUAGAGUGCAGUAGGGGUAGAGGGAAUUCCCGGUGUAGCGGUGAAAUGCGUAGAGAUCGGGAAGAACAUCGGUGGCGAAAGCGCUCUGCUGGACUGCAACUGACACUCAGGGGCGAAAGCUAGGGGAGCGAAUGGG